rnacentral:rRNA from 1 species
GACGAACGCUGGCGGCGUGCUUAACACAUGCAAGUCGAACGAUGAAGCCGGAGCUUGCUCUGGUGAAUUAGUGGCGAACGGGUGAGUAACACGUGAGUAACCUGCCCUUGACUCUGCAAUAACUGCGGGAAACUGUAGCUAAUACCGGAUACGACCCUCGGCGGCAUCGCCAGGGGGUGGAAAGAAUUUCGGUCAAGGACGGACUCGCGGCCUAUCAGCUAGUUGGUGAGGUAACGGUUCACCAAGGCGACGACGGGUAGCCGGCCUGAGAGGGUGACCGGCCACACUGGGACUGAGACACGGCCCAGACUCCUACGGGAGGCAGCAGUGGGGAAUAUUGCACAAUGGGCGCAAGCCUGAUGCAGCAACGCCGCGUGAGGGAUGACGGCCUUCGGGUUGUAAACCUCUUUUAGUAGGGAAGAAGCGAAAGUGACGGUACCUGCAGAAAAAGCACCGGCUAACUACGUGCCAGCCGCCGCCGUAA